GACCCUGGGGCUGAUUUCUGGUACCGGUGUGUGGGCAGCGGAAACGUGCAUGCCCUCUAGCAGGGUGACAGCAACAUCUUAGAAACAAAACAAUGGAGAACUGGAACCCAUGACCGAUUCUUCUUCACCAAGCCCAGCCCAGGGAUCACUGCCAGCCCUUAUCUCAAUGACUGAUAGCACAAGAGUCAGGAGCUUGGAAACCUUUCUCCAAGAAUGAAGCUCUGGGGACAAAUAAUUUGGACCCUUCUCUCUGGUCCCCAAGGAAGGAGGAGAGCCCCCCAGGGCUGGGCCUUCAACUUAUGGAAGACUUAUUCAUCUCUGGCUGGGCUGUUGAGCGCCACAGGGAUGGUUAAUCACUGGACACGGGUCUUUGAGGAAAGAGGUAUCCCAGAGGCCCGGGAAUCCAGUGAGUACAUCGUGGCUCAUGUCCUUGGAGCCAAAACAUUUCAGAGCCUGAGACCAGCACUUUGGACCAAGCCACUGACCCUUCAACAACUGGAAUGCAUCCAGGAACUGUGUAGCCAUAGAUUACAGAGGAUGCCGGUGCAGUAUAUCCUUGGGGAGUGGGACUUUCAGGGGCUCAAUCUGAAGAUGGUACCCCCAGUGUUCAUUCCUCGGCCCGAGACAGAAGAACUGGUUGAAUGGGUUUUAGAGGAAGUGGCCCAGAGGCCCUCUGAAGUGAAAGCCCAAGAUGGUCCCCUCAUUCUAGAGGUGGGCUGUGGAUCAGGAGCCAUUGCUCUCAGCCUGCUGAGCCAGCUCCCCAAGAGUCAAGUCAUUGCUGUGGAUAAGGAAGAAGCUGCUGUUAGUCUGACCCAGGAGAAUGCUCAGAGGCUUCAGCUGCAGGACAGGAUUCGGAUCAUCCGCCUUGAUAUAACCUCAGACAAGUGCCGCACACACCUUUUGCCCUGGGGCCCCAUGGACUUGGUGGUCAGCAACCCUCCCUACGUCUUCCACAAGGACAUGGAACAGCUGGCUCCAGAGAUCUGCAGUUACGAAGAUCUGGUGGCCCUGGAUGGUGGUGACGAAGGCAUGGACGUCAUCACCCACAUCUUGACCUUGGCACCCCAGCUCUUGAAUGCCUCUGGAAGCAUCUUCUUAGAAGUAGACCCAAGACACCCAGAGCUUGUCAGCAGUUGGCUUCAGAGCCAGCCUGACCUGCACCUUAGUCUGGUGGGUGUCCGUGAAGACUUCUGUGGGAGGCCCCGGUUCCUGCAUAUCCAGAAGUCUGUACCAAGUGUGGCUGCUCUGUGAACACCUGGCUAGGAUUCUAGCCUGCCGGGUGCCUGGCUCACCCUGUGUGGAGUGCUGCCCAGGGAGAGGUGUACUGAACCCCUGGCAUAGCCAUGGUUCUGUGAUUCUCCAUGAGGCAUGUUUCUAGGAGACUCGGAAACAUGGAUGGAGUGUUCUUCCUGUGGCAGCUAAGAACAGAGGACUAGGCCUGAGAGCCUCCCCCUGCUGCAGCAAGUCAAGCAGACUGUGUGAUGUAAGGACACCAUGUGAUGGGGAUGGGGGAUGAAGAGGCUCAAUCCCGGCCUUGGACACUGUUGGGACUGCACAGAAUGGCUCACUCCGGUUAACAUCAUCUACCUCCAGCCUGAGAAUGCCUACAUACUCUUCCUUAACUGGGCCUAGGCUGAGCAUGGGGGGCUGUAUCUGAGCAUGAGGAUGCGGCUGAGAGCCUUUGACACAUGAUCUUGGAGUUGCAUACCUACAUUCAUGUAAGUUUAGGUUUG